UACGUAGGUGGCAAGCGUUAUCCGGAUUUGUUGGGCGUAAAGGGAACGCAGGCGGUCUUUUAAGUCUGAUGUGAAAGCCUUCGGCUUAACCGGAGUAGUGCAUUGGAAACUGGGAGACUUGAGUGCAGAAGAGGAGAGUGGAACUCCACGUGUAGCGGUGAAAUGCGUAGAUAUAUGGAAGAACACCAGUGGCGAAAGCGGCUCUCUGGUCUGUAACUGACGCUGAGGUUCGAAAGCGUGGGUAGCAAACAGG
rnacentral:rRNA from 1 species